ACUCCUACGGGAGGCAGCAGUGGGGAAUUUUGGACAAUGGGGGCAACCCUGAUCCAGCCAUGCCGCGUGAGUGAAGAAGGUCUUCGGAUUGUAAAGCACUUUAAGUUGGGAGGAAGGGCAGUAACUUAAUACGUUGCUGUUUUGACGUUACCGACAGAAUAAGCACCGGCUAACUCUGUGCCAGCAGCCGCGGUAAU
rnacentral:rRNA from 1 species